rfam:Oryza nivara chromosome 3, whole genome shotgun sequence.
AAAAAUAGCAAACCUUAGGUUUCCAUGUCCAACUUUAACUGUCCGUUUUAUAUAAAUUUUUUUAUAAUUCGUAUUUUUAUUAUUGUUAGAUGAUAUAACAUGAUUAAUAUUUUAUGCGUGACUUGUCUUUUUAAUUUUUUUAUAAUUUUUUUAAAUAAGACGGACGAUCAAACGUUGGACAUGGAAACCAGGGUUUGUCUUUUU